rnacentral:rRNA from 1 species
AGAGUUUGAUCAUGGCUCAGAUUGAACGCUGGCGGCAGGCCUAACACAUGCAAGUCGAGCGGUAGCACAGGAGAGCUUGCUCUCUGGGUGACGAGCGGCGGACGGGUGAGUAAUGUCUGGGAAACUGCCUGAUGGAGGGGGAUAACUACUGGAAACGGUAGCUAAUACCGCAUAACGUCUUCGGACCAAAGUGGGGGACCUUCGGGCCUCACGCCAUCAGAUGUGCCCAGAUGGGAUUAGCUAGUAGGUGAGGUAAUGGCUCACCUAGGCGACGAUCCCUAGCUGGUCUGAGAGGAUGACCAGCCACACUGGAACUGAGACACGGUCCAGACUCCUACGGGAGGCAGCAGUGGGGAAUAUUGCACAAUGGGCGCAAGCCUGAUGCAGCCAUGCCGCGUGUGUGAAGAAGGCCUUCGGGUUGUAAAGCACUUUCAGCGAGGAGGAAGGGUAGUGUGUUAAUAGCACAUUGCAUUGACGUUACUCGCAGAAGAAGCACCGGCUAACUCCGUGCCAGCAGCCGCGGUAAUACGGAGGGUGCAAGCGUUAAUCGGAAUUACUGGGCGUAAAGCGCACGCAGGCGGUUUGUUAAGUCAGAUGUGAAAUCCCCGCGCUUAACGUGGGAAUUGCAUUUGAAACUGGCAAGCUAGAGUCUUGUAGAGGGGGGUAGAAUUCCAGGUGUAGCGGUGAAAUGCGUAGAGAUCUGGAGGAAUACCGGUGGCGAAGGCGGCCCCCUGGACAAAGACUGACGCUCAGGUGCGAAAGCGUGGGGAGCAAACAGGAUUAGAUACCCCGGUAGU